UAGAGUUUGAUCCUGGCUCAGGACGAACGCUGGCGGCGUGCUUAACACAUGCAAGUCGAACGGAGAAUUUAGCAAUAAAUUCUUAGUGGCGAACGGGUGAGUAACGCGUAGACAACCUGCCUUCUAGAUGGGGACAACGUUCCGAAAGGGACGCUAAUACCGAAUGUCCUAUCGAUCCUGCAUGGGAAUGAUAGCAAAGGUGGCCUCUUAGCAAUGCUACCGCUAGAAGAUGGGUCUGCGUCUGAUUAGCUAGUUGGUGAGGUAACGGCUCACCAAGGCGACGAUCAGUAGCCGGUCUGAGAGGAUGAACGGCCACACUGGGACUGAGACACGGCCCAGACUCCUACGGGAGGCAGCAGUGGGGAAUCUUCCGCAAUGGACGAAAGUCUGACGGAGCAACGCCGCGUGAGUGAAGAAGGUUUUCGGAUCGUAAAACUCUGUCUUCAGGGACGAACGGUUUUUAUGCAAAUAGUAUAGAGACAUGACGAUACCUGAGGAGGAAGCCACGGCUAACUACGUGCCAGCAGCCGCGGUAAUACGUAGGUGGCAAGCGUUGUCCGGAAUUAUUGGGCGUAAAGAGCGCGUAGGCGGGAUACUAAGUCUGUUGUAAAAGUGCGGGGCUCAACCCCGUAAGGUCAAUGGAAACUGGUAUUCUUGAGUGCAGGAGAGGAAAGUGGAAUUCCCAGUGUAGCGGUGAAAUGCGUAGAUAUUGGGAGGAACACCAGUGGCGAAGGCGACUUUCUGGACUGUGUCUGACGCUGAGGCGCGAAAGCCAGGGGAGCGAACGGGAUUAGAUACCCCGGUANNNCUGGCCGUAAACGAU
rnacentral:rRNA from 1 species